UGGCGCAAUGGAUAGCGCACCGGACUUCUAUCGCGUCGUCUCUCUUGCGCUCUCGAAGACCAUCCGGGGGUUGCGGGUUCGAGUCCCGCAA
rnacentral:tRNA from 1 species